rnacentral:rRNA from 1 species
CCUACGGGAGGCAGCAGUAGGGAAUAUUCGGCAAUGGGGGAAACCCUGACCGAGCAACGCCGCGUGAACGAAGAAGUUAUUCGUAAUGUAAAGUUCUUUUAAUAGGGAAGAAAGAGAAAUUUGACGGUACCUGAAGAAUAAGCUCCGGCUAACUACGUGCCAGCAGCCGCGGUAAUACGCAGGGAGCGAGCGUUAUCCGGAAUUAUGGGGCGUAAAGGGUGCGUAGAGGGCUUAGUAAGUCUUUUGUAAAAAUGCUGGGCUCAACCCAGUAGGGCAAAAGAUACUGCAAAGCUAGAGUAUGACAGAGGCAAGUGGAACUACAUGUGUAGCGGUAAAAUGCGUAGAUAUAUGGAAGAACACCAGGUGCGAAGGCGGCUUGCUGGGUCGAUACUGACAUUGAUGCACGAAAGCGUGGGGAGCAAACAGGAUUAGAUACCCCAGUAGUC